rnacentral:lncRNA from 12 species
GGGUGGCGGUUCUCUGGAGAGCUAGCGGGGGGGUGGGUGAGUAGGCCGCAUCUUUGUGUUUCCUACCUUCCGAGGCCAGGCAGCCUUCCAGACCCCGGCAGCCGGAAGUGGGCAGCCGGAAGUGGGCAGCCGGAAGUGGGCAGCCGGAAGUGGCCGCUGAGACGGAGCCGCCAGAGCCCCGGCCUGACUCUUCACACAGGCUCCAGCCCCGUGUCUCAGGCUGUUCAGCAAAGUUGGCUGGCUGUGGAGCACAGUGGGAUAUCCUUCUCUCAAGAUCAACAGACUGGACUACAAGGAAGAAGAUCUACAUAAAAGAGCUCUUCAGCUUCAGAAAGUUUGAAAAGCAUGAUCAGAUUGAGAGUCUGGUUUGGAGGCCACGGCACUCUCACAGGAUGUAGCAGACACUGGCUAAACAUCGCUGUCAUAUUCUUCUCCUUCCUGGGUGCACAGCAAAUGCACAUUAUAGAAAUAACUUCAGAAAUGGCCUUCAGGAAUCACUCAUACUGGCUUUUUCGGGAAAGAGGCCUUCACAUGAAGUGUUUCCACAUCCCCAUCGCCUCUGCGGGGAACUUAUGCUUGGGUGAGCUGCUGACACAAGCUCCACUGCCACACUAG